UACGGAGGGUGCAAGCGUUAUCCGGAUUCACUGGGUUUAAAGGGUGCGUAGGCGGGUAAGUAAGUCCGUGGUGAAAUCUCUGAGCUUAACUCGGAAACUGCCGUUGAUACUAUCUGUCUUGAAUACCGUGGAGAUGAGCGGAAUAUGUCAUGUAGCGGUGAAAUGCUUAGAUAUGACAUAGAACACCAAUUGCGAAGGCAGCUCGUUACACGAAUAUUGACUCUGAGGCACGAAAGCGUGGGGAUCAAACAGG
rnacentral:rRNA from 1 species